rnacentral:rRNA from 1 species
GUCUUUUUGACUUAAAUAUAAAGUCUAACCCCCCCAUUGAAAUAAAUUUAAAAGGCUGCGGUAUAUUGACCGUACAAAGGUAGCAUAAUCAUUAGUUUUUUAAUUGAAAACUUGUAUGAAUGGUUGAAUGAGAAAUUAACUUUUUUUUUAAAAAAAUUGAAUUUUACUUUUUAGUUAAAAGGCUAAAAUAAAUUUAAAAGACGAGAAGACCCUAUAGAGUUUAAUAAUAUAUUUAUAUAAAUAUAAAGGAUUAUUAAUAUUAUUAUAACUAAAUUUAUUUUAUUGGGGUGAUAAUAAAAUUUAAUUAACUUUUAUUUAUUAAAAAUAUUGAUAUAUAAUUAUAUAUAUAUAUAUAUAUAUAUAUUUGAUCCAAUUUUAUUGAUUAAAAAAUUAAAUUACCUUAGGGAUAACAGCGUAAUUUUUUUUUAAGUUCUUAUUAAUAAAAAAUUUUGCGACCUCGAUGUUGGAUUAAGAUUAAAUUUUAGGUGCAGCAGCUUAAAUUUUAAGUCUGUUCGACUUUUAAAUUCUU